AUAAGCCUAAUAAUUAUCUUGGAACAUGAACAACCAUAUUAAUAUUUAGCUAUCGUUUUUGAAAAUAUUAUGUUUAUGAAUUAAUCAUUGUGUUAAUGUUUUAGUUACAUGAGAGCAUGUAGCAGUGAUAAGGACCAAAGACCACAGAAAUUAAACUCUGGCUCCACCACUGUAGGAUGUGUGUCCUUGGAAAAAUCUCUGAACUUCUCUGUGACUCAGUUUCAUCAUUUGAAAAAUCAGAAUGAUAUUAGCAGCUACUUGAAAGUACUGUUUUGAGGAAUAAAUAAGUUAAUAUUCAUGAAGUACCUAGAAUAACGCCUGGAACAUGGUUAGCAUUAAAUACACUUGGUUUGCCUCUUCAAACCUAACAUUUAUUUCAACAGUAGUUAGACUCAGUUCACCUUAAAAAUUCAAUCCAAUCCCUUUCCUUUAAGUGCUAUAGUUGCCUUUGGCUAUUACUACUAAAAAGCUCCUCUAAGAAUUAGUCAGACAUUGGAGAAAGCAAAAGUAAGAUUUUAAUUUGUAACUUCACAUGAGUGCUAAUCUAGAAGUACCAAAAAUCUCCAUCAAAGUUUAAUGAAAGAAACAGAGUGCUCUAUUUCUAAACAAACUAAUGAGGUCACCGCUAACUUUUCUUUUAAAAAUUGUUAAACACAACUAUCAUUAAAUCAAUGUUGUGUUGAACAAACAAAACUCUUCCAACCAAUACUGCCAUGAACAAAUACUUACAUCUAGAAAAAUACAAAGUCUUUACAUUACCUCUCUCUCAUAUGCACUUUUAAAAACAUACUUCAGGAGGUCCCACCAGCCAGCAAGCCAGAGCAUGGCGGCCAUCCCCUCCAGCGGCUCGCUCCUGGCCACCUACGACUACUACCGGCGCCGCCUGGAUUCCACUUUCAGCAACAGCUCCUGCGGCAGUAUCGAGUGCCCCGGGGAAGCCAUUCCCCACCCCCCAGGUCUCCCCAAGGCUGACCCGGGUCACUGGUGGGCCAGCUUGUUUUUCGGGAAGUCCACCCUCCCGUUCAUGGCCACGGUGUUGGAGUCCGCAGAGCACCCGGAACCCCCGCCCCCGGGCCCCCAGGCCUCCAGCAGCAUGACCACCGGUGUUCUGGCUCGGGACGCCCCGAGUCCAGCACAGUCAGCGCUGGGCCCCGGUCCUGACCUGAGCGGUUACCACCAGCCCAGGCCUGUGGAGGCGCUAGUCCACCAGAGCACCUCCCCGCCCCCCGCCCCCUCCCUACCUCCCACUCCCCACCCUCUAGACCAGGCGGCUGCAGCAAGCAGACCUUCGCAUCAACACAGCAGACACCAAAAAGGAGUGAGGGCCCAGCUCUCUACCGCCCGGCCCCGGCACUGGCUAGCUUUCCUGGCACCUGGAACUGUGCACCUGGCACCAAGCGGAAAAUAA